rnacentral:ncRNA from 1 species
GCAACCUGAUGCUGGCCCGCGAGAGCCGUACCGUGUUCCUGAGCCUGCUGGGCAUCUCGUGGCUGUGGUUCCUGGGCGCGACCUUCCUGACCUCGUUCUUCGCGUUCGCCAAGACCGUGCUC